UAUAUACUCCCUCCGUCCGAAAAAGAUUGUCCCUCAAAUGGAUGUAUCUACUUAGUGCUAGAUGCAUCCAUUUGAGGGACAAAUUUUUUCGGACGGAGGGAGUACUUA
rfam:Triticum aestivum genome assembly, contig: Triticum_aestivum_CS42_TGACv1_scaffold_162669_2DL